CACAUUUUCUGGUUGUCCAUUUUAUUAAUUGAAAGUAACUCCACACAUUUUCUGGUUGUCCAUUUUAUUAAUUAAAAGUAACUCCACACAUUUUCUGGGUGCCCAUUUUAUGUUCAUGUAACUCCUACAUUGUUAGCAUUUAAGACACAUGUGGGCAGCGGCAGGUUUAGCACCAAUGACUUUCUCCACUUGGACGACACCGGGGACAAGAGCGGGCUAUGGCGACUAGUAGUAAGCAUUAGGCCCUGGAGCACCACCUCUGCCUGACCUGCUUGCGCCGGCAGCAACUCGUGGUGACACUGGCUGCCAUGACGGAAGCGGCAAGGCACCCAAGCAACCACAAUUGACGAGGCACUGGAGAUGGAUGAACUCCUCAAUGUGUUCAAUAUGCCUGUGUCGACCUCACACGUCAUGUGCCCUGGUUUGUGUGAGAUGGUGCCGCUGCUGGUGGAUGAGGUGCUGGAGAACGUUCAUCAUGACAUGUAUGCCUUCAGGGAUGAUCAGAUGUGUAAGCCUUGCAUUUGCACUUGCUUUGGUCCAUGAAAGAGUUGUUGUGUACAUGGCUAAUUGGUUGCACUCGCUUAGACUGUUCUUCCUUAGUUUGCUGAGGUUGCAUGAUGAAUACAUGAUCUUUGUAAUUUUCUGUCAUUGGCAGCAUUACUCCAGUUUGUCUGACUUCAUUACAUGCUAAUCUGGUGUUGUUCA